AUUGUCGAAACCUGCAAAAGCAGAACGACCAGAGAACCAGUUAA
rnacentral:rRNA from 1 species